CCUACGGGCGGCAGCAGUGAGGAAUAUUGGUCAAUGGACGAGAGUCUGAACCAGCCAAGUAGCGUGAAGGAUGACUGCCCUAUGGGUUGUAAACUUCUUUUAUAUGGGAAUAAAACGUUCCACGUGUGGGAUUUUGUAUGUACCAUAUGAAUAAGGAUCGGCUAACUCCGUGCCAGCAGCCGCGGUAAUACGGAGGAUCCGAGCGUUAUCCGGAUUUAUUGGGUUUAAAGGGAGCGUAGGUGGAUUGUUAAGUCAGUUGUGAAAGUUUGCGGCUCAACCGUAAAAUUGCAGUUGAAACUGGCAGUCUUGAGUACAGUAGAGGUGGGCAGAAUUCGUGGUGUAGCGGUGAAAUGCUUAGAUAUCACGAAGAACUCCGAUUGCGAAGGCAGUUCACUGGACUGCAACUGACACUGAGGCUCGAAAGUGUGGGUAUCAAACAGGAUUAGAUACCCCAGUAGUC
rnacentral:rRNA from 1 species